CGAACAGAUUAUCGACAAUCAUCAUAUGCACUAUCAAACACUAGAAUUCUAUAUAUUAUGCAUUAUGAGAAUAAAGGGUAAAUUGUAUACCUGAGAAUUCCUCUGAUAUUCCUCACUUCCUAUAUCCUCUCUGCCUAACCCCGAUGAUCUCUGCCUGCAGCCCAAAAACUUCUCCCUCCUCCGUAAUUUUCCCUGCCUUGUCCAUCCAACGAAAAAAAUUUCUUCCACCUCGUGCCCCCCUGGAAAAACACUUUUAACCGUUUUUCUCUUUUCCAAAUCUCCUUCCCCAAUCCAAUUCUAACAACCUUGCUCCCCUCUAUCCGACACCACCCUUCCACGUCACCAUUCCCCAUUUUUCUUUUCUUUCUUUUUUCUUUUUCAGUUUUUUUUAAUAUUUUUUCUUUUCUUUUUUCUUCCCUUUUUUCUCUUUUCUCUUUUUCUUCUAUUUUCGUUUUUUU
rnacentral:lncRNA from 1 species